rnacentral:rRNA from 1 species
UACGUAGGGUGCAAGCGUUAAUCGGAAUUACUGGGCGUAAAGCGUGCGCAGGCGGUUGUGCAAGACAGAGGUGAAAUCCCCGGGCUCAACCUGGGAACUGCCUUUGUGACUGCACGGCUAGAAUCUGGCAGAGGGGGGUAGAAUUCCACGUGUAGCAGUGAAAUGCGUAGAUAUGUGGAGGAAUACCGAUGGCGAAGGCAGCCCCCUGGGCUAAGAUUGACGCUCAUGCACGAAAGCGUGGGGAGCAAACAGG